rnacentral:tRNA from 1 species
GGUCCGUUGGUCAAGGGGUUAAGACACCGCCUUUUCACGGCGGUACACGGGUUCGAAUCCCGUACGGACUA